GGCUGGUCUAAAGACAGAGUUCACAGCCCAUAAAUUGCUCACAGUCGGUUACAGGUCAAAUUCCUUGUUCUACUCCUUCCCCCCUUCUCACUACUGCACUUGACCAGUCUUAA
rnacentral:Y_RNA from 1 species